UGGGAUGUCGCCAAGCGGUAAGGCACCAGACUUUGACUCUGGCAUUUCGUCGGUUCGAAUCCGGCCAUCCCAGCCA
rnacentral:tRNA from 1 species